rnacentral:rRNA from 1 species
AGCAGUCGCCACGGUAAUACGUAGGGUGCAAGCGUUAAUCGGAAUUACUGGGCGUAAAGCGUGCGCAGGCGGUUAUAUAAGACAGAUGUGAAAUCCCCGGGCUCAACCUGGGACCUGCAUUUGUGACUGUAUAGCUAGAGUACGGUAGAGGGGGAUGGAAUUCCGCGUGUAGCAGUGAAAUGCGUAGAUAUGCGAAGGAACACCGAUGGCGAAGGCAAUCCCCUGGACCUGUACUGACGCUCAUGCACGAAAGCGUGGGGAGCAAACAGGAUUAGAUACCCCAGUAGUCCCUGUCUCUUAUAC